rnacentral:rRNA from 1 species
GUYUUUUUGUUAAUUAUUUAAAGUCUAGUCUGCCCCCUGAAAAUUAAAUGGCCGUGGUAUUUUGACCGUGCUAAGGUAGCAUAAUCANUNGUUUCUUAAUUAGAAUCUGGAAUGAAGGGCUGGAUAAAAAACUAUCUGUCUCUAUUUAAAUUUAUUAAAAAUUUACAUUUAAGUAAAAAGGCUUAAAUAUAUUUAAAAGACGAGAAGACCCUAUAGAGUUUAAUUUUAAAUUUAAAUAUAUAUUUAAGAAUUAAAUUUUAUAUUUAAUUUUAAAAUUUAGUUGGGGUGAUUGAAAAAUUUAGUAAACUUUUUUUAUUAUAUACCAUAAAUUAAUGAUUAUUUGAUCCGAGGUUUUUGAUUAUAAGAUAAAAUUACCUUAGGGAUAACAGCGUAAUUUUUUUAAAGAGUUCAUAUUUAAAAGAGAGAUUGCGACCUCGAUGUUGGAUUAAAAUUUAUAUUUGGUGUAGAAGCUAAAAUAUUAAGUCUGUUCGACUUUUAAAAUUUUACA